AUUUAUUCUAUUAUCUAUUUUAUUUCUUAAAUUUAGAUUUUUUAAAACUUAUUUCCUUUUAAUUUUUAGAAUUGAUUUAUAAACAUUUGAUAAUUUUUUUAUUUCAUAAGUUAAUAACAUGAUUUUAUUUAUAGAUCCCAACGUAAAGAGUGUGAUGCUUAAUCCCCAAAUGCUGAGAUGCUAAAUCCCUAGAAGUUUCCACUCACUACAACCGAUUUGAGAAUCAACUUCUCACUUUAUUUCGUACUCAAAUCCGAUUUCGUCACUCGCUCGUUCUUUUUAAAUCCAUUCCGUCAGUAUCUCCCUUCUCCCAAUCCGAUUCAAGGCUUUAGUUGAGGUUCUUUGAUUCAAGGUUGUCCACGAUGAUGGUGUUCUUCUUCCAUGUGCAAUAAAUGCAGCAUGCGCUGCACUCGUGGAUGCUGGAAUUCCCCUAAAACAUCUUGCUGGUGGGCCUGAAAGUUUAUGCUCAUCCUAAUGCUUUUAAGGUAUGAUUUGGUGAUAAGCCCUUUUAAAAGGAUAGGAUGCAUACAACAACAAUUCUUGGAAGACAGAUUUAAAAAAUGUGUUGUAAUAUUUUGUUUAGUUGAACAAUGAAGUUAAUAUUUUGUAUAGAUGUCUAAUGACAAUUACAAACUUAUAGUUUUAGCUUUAUUUGACAAUUAUUUCUCUUAAAUGAUGUAAGUGAAAAACUUGAUUAGCUCCUUUUGUUGGUAAAGGAAACUCCUUCAGCUU